UACGUAGGUGGCAAGCGUUGUCCGGAUUUACUGGGCGUAAAGAGCGCGCAGGCGGCUGGUCAAGUCCGAUGUGAAAUCUCCCGGCUUAACUGGGAAACUGCAUCGGAAACUGAUCGGCUUGAAGGUGGGAGAGGGUAGUGGAAUUCCCGGUGUAGUGGUGAAAUGCGUAGAGAUGUGGAGGAACACUAAUGGCGAAGGCAGCCUUCUGGGCCAACACUGACGCUCAUGCACGAAAGCGUGGGGAGCAAACAGG
rnacentral:rRNA from 1 species